CGCGGGAUUGGGAGACGGGGUGCAGCAGGCGCGAAACCUUUACAAUGCACGAAAGUGUGAUAAGGGAAUCCUAAGUGCUCAUACACAGUAUGGGCUUUUGCCAAGGGUAAAUACCUUGGAGAAUAAGCGGUGGGUAAGACUGGUGCCAGCAGCCGCGGUAACACCAGCGCCGCAAGUGGGGACCUCUUUUAUUGGGCCUAAAGCGUCCGUAGCUGGUUUAGUAAAUCUCUUGUGAAAUCGUUAGACUCAAUUUAACGGCAUGCAGGAGACACUGCUUUACUAGAGACCGGGAGAAGUAUGGAGUAUUCCGGGGGAACCGGUAAAAUGGGAUAAUCCUCGGAGGACUACCUGUGGCGAAGGCGCCAUACUAGAACGGAUCUGACAGUGAGGGACGAAGGCUAGGGGAGCAAACCGGAUUAGAUACCCGAGUAGUCCUAGCAGUAAACGCUGCCAGCCAGGCGUUGCACAUUCCACGGGAAUGUGCAGUGUCGUAACGAAGGUGUUAAGCUGGCCGCCUGGGAAGUAUGGUCGCAAGACUGAAACUUAGAGGAAUUGGCGGGGGAGCACCCCAAGGGGUGCGGCGUGCGGUUUAAUCUAACUCAACGCAGAGAAUCUCACCAGAGGCGACGGCAGGAUGAAGGUCAGUCUGAAGGGCUUACCCGACGAGCCGAGAGGUGGUGCAUGGCCGCCGUCAGCUCGUGCUGUGAGGUGUCCUGUUAAGUCAGGUAACGAGCGAGACCUGUACCUACAAUUGCCAGCAACUAGCUUGCUAGGAUUGGGCACAAUGUAGGAACUGCCUUGGAAACAAGGAGGAAGGUGCAGGCUACGGUAAGUCUGUAUACCCCGAAUCUUCUAGGCUACACGCGCGCAACAAUGAUAAGGACAAUAAAAUACGACUCCGAGAGGAGAAGCCAAACCUCAAAACCUUAUCUUAGUUCAGAUUGAGGGCUGUAACUCGCCCUCAUGACGCCGGAAUCCCUAGUAAUCCCGUGUCAUCAUCGCGGGGUGAAUAUGUCCCUGCUCCUUGCACGAAUUCGCCGAAUCACUAGU
rnacentral:rRNA from 1 species